CCAGAGAGCUGGCUAGUCCCUUCCACCAUGUGAGGACCCAGUGAGGAGGCACGGUCUAUGAAAAUAAGAAUUUUGCUCUGUGUGAAACUGCAUACCUAUUCGUCCAUUUGUUCAGCAAGCACUGAAUGAACUUGUGCUAAGAAGCAGGCGCAGUGCCGUGGGCAAAGGAGACUGAGAUGGAGUCCCUGACCUCAAGGAUUCACUGUCUAACAGAGGAGAAAGACUGGGGAACUUCCAGGUGGAGGUAUCAGCUACGUACCUGGAAAUGUGAGUCUAAAGCGUGGGAGAGUUAUCCGAGCUAAGGAAAACAGACUGGGGGUUGUCCUCAUGCAUCUGUUUUCCUUCAUUACAUGAGUCAUGAAUGCUAAUUGAAGAAGAACUAGAAAAUUCAGAUGUGCGAAAUAAAACAUCACCUGGAAUUCUUCCACCCAUAUUACUGCUGUUAAUAUUUUGGUAGGUAGACUUCCAGACUUUAUUUUUAUGUGUAUAUAAUGACUUUUUAAAUAUUUUUUUUCUAAAACUUGGCAUAAAAUACAUAUUGUUUUGUAAACUAUUUUUCACGUAACAAUGUAUUGUGGACACUUUUUCAUGUCAGUGAAUGUAGUUCUACAAUCCAUACCCAUAUUGUUAAUGGCGGUAGGGUAGUGUACUGUAAAGGUUCAGAUAGGUGUCAGGAUGAUAUGUAAUCAGGAAUCUGCUGUCAGUGACUUUGCAGGAUCCUGGAGGUUGGGAGGGGUGCUAUGAGGUGAAGUUGGAUGAAUACUGCCAUCAUAGCCGGCAAGGAGUAGACUUUGGAUCUGGAAAUUAAAGAGUGUCCAAACUAAUGCCUGUUCCUGGCAAAAUUCUAGAAAUGAUUAUUAUAUGUGGGGUCUGGCAAUGCUUAGCAAAAAGAAUAACAUUUGGCAGAAGCCAGCCUGCGGUCUCUACAAACACAUACCAAAGGAUAGAAUAUCAUGCUUCUUUUGUUGAUAAGGAUACAGAAUGAAGAGGUUAGGGGAAUGCUGAAGACAUUGCUUUUUUUUACUUUCAACAGGGCAUGAAGCAGUUUGUCAUCGUAUUCCCGUAUGUGAUGGGAAAAUGCGGGCUGCAUCAUGGCCCUGUUUGGAGGAUUCAUAGCUGGUGACUCACUGUACCCAAAGAGAUGUGAUGACAGGUUUUCUGUCUUGCCAGCAAGACGUCUCUGAGCCUGUGACUCAGCCCUGGCCACACGAUGUUUCUAUCAGUGACUCAGAUGAAGAUGUAGGUGUCAGGCUCAUCACACCUUCAGAUGACACAAAGAGGCACAGGCUCACUAAUAGACUGGGUGACAGAAUUGAGGUUCAAAAUGAUUGUGGCAGGCUGGAAUGAUGAUCCAACAUGAGCAAGUGACAUUUGGAGAGUGUGGAUGUAGAGUCCUGCAGGCAGGUUAAAAAGAUCAGAAGUGAAAAUGUGGGACCAUGAGUCUCGGCUUAGAAAUGAAUCACUUGAAAAAGACAAAGUUUAUCUGACAGCAAAUUCAGAUGUGUGGGCACUAUCAGGAGUCUGUUGAUUCCCAGGCUGCCUCAGUAGAUGCAGGAAGCCUGGAAGAAAGGUCAGUGUUCCCACUGGGGCCUGUAGUUUGCUAGGUUCAGGCUUGGGAACCCUCAGAACAAAGUCCAGGGGAAAGCAAUCCCCAUGGUGAAGGAUCUAAACACAAAGACUGUUUUUUUUGUUUUUUUUUUUGAGACAGAGUCUCACUCAGUCUCCCAAGCUGGAGUGCAGUGAUGUAAUCUCGGCUCACUGCAACCUCCGCCUCCCAGGUUCAAUCGAUUCUUCUGCCUCAGCCUCCCAAGUAGCUGGGACCACAGGCACACGCCACCAAGCCUGGAUAAUUUUUGUAUUUUUAGUAGAGAGGGGGGUUUUGCCAUGUUGGCCAGAUGGUCUCAAACUCCUGACCUCAGGUGAUCCACCCACCUUGGCCUCCCAAAGUGUUGGGAUUACAGGCGUGAGCCACUGCACCCAGCCCUAAACACAAAGUCUUAAAGUAGGGUGGUCAUUCAAGUUAUUAUCUAAACUGGGACACGAUGGGAGUGAAAGUAUUAUUAAUCACUAGAAUGCAUAAUUCUAUCGUGGAGGCAUCUUGGAGGGACUGGGACUUUUUAUACUAGAGAAGAAAUAACCAAGGACUUAUUAUAUUUGAGUCAGGAAACUUAUUUUUAUAGCUCAUUCUCUUUUUUAGAAAAAUCAUUAUUUAGAGGUCAAGACUGGAGGAUCACUUGAAGCCAGACCAACCUGGGCAACAUAGUCGGACCCUAUCUCUAAAAAAAAAAAAAUGUAAAAUUAGCCAGGUAUGGUGGCCCCUGUGUGUAGUCCCAGCUAUUCACAAGACUGAAUUGGGAGGAUCCCUUAAUGACAGGAGUUUGAGGUUACAGUGAAGCUGGGGCAACAGGCAGAGACCCUGUCUCUAAAACAAACAGAUAAAUAAAUAUUUAAAAAGGAAUACCUGCUCAUUGAAAAAAAUUCAAAUAAUAAACAACUCUCUUCUAUCAAAUAAGAAUAAAGCUAGCACAUACCUUGUCGAUUUGCUAUGAGGAUUAAAUGAGUGUAAGGUGUUUAGAGCAGUGCAUGGCAUAAGUUUGUAAGAUACAAAUAAAUAUAAAACUGUUUAAAAGGGAAAAAAGCUCUUCUUUUCCUCACCCCUCCCAUCUCUAUAUCAGUUACAUGUU